rnacentral:rRNA from 1 species
GAGUUUGAUCAUGGCUCAGAUUGAACGCUGGCGGCAGGCCUAACACAUGCAAGUCGAGCGGAUGACGGGAGCUUGCUCCUUGAUUCAGCGGCGGACGGGUGAGUAAUGCCUAGGAAUCUGCCUGGUAGUGGGGGACAACGUUUCGAAAGGAACGCUAAUACCGCAUACGUCCUACGGGAGAAAGCAGGGGACCUUCGGGCCUUGCGCUAUCAGAUGAGCCUAGGUCGGAUUAGCUAGUUGGUGGGUAAUGGCUCACCAAAGGCGACGAUCCGUAACUGGUCUGAGAGGAUGAUCAGUCACACUGGAACUGAGACACGGUCCAGACUCCUACGGGAGGCAGCAGUGGGGAAUAUUGGACAAUGGGCGAAAGCCUGAUCCAGCCAUGCCGCGUGUGUGAAGAAGGUCUUCGGAUUGUAAAGCACUUUAAGUUGGAGAAGGGCAGUAAG